GUAGGUGGCAAGCGUUGUCCGGAAUUAUUGGGCGUAAAGCGCGCGCAGGUGGUUCUUUAAGUCUGAUGUGAAAGCCCCCGGCUCAACCGGGGAGGGUCAUUGGAAACUGGGGAACUUGAGUGCAGGAGAGGAAAGUGGAAUUCCACGUGUAGCGGUGAAAUGCGUAGAUAUGUGGAGGAACACCAGUGGCGAAGGCGACUUUCUGGCCUGUAACUGACACUGAGGCGCGAAAGCGUGGGGAGCAAACAGGAUUAGAUACCCUGGUAGUCCACGCCGUGAACGAUGAGUGCUAAGUGUUGGGGGGGUUUCCCGCCCCUCAGUGCUGCAGCUAACGCAUUAAGCACUCCGCCUGGGGAUACGGUCGCAAGACUG
rnacentral:rRNA from 1 species